CCCCCUCUGAAGCAGUUUCUCCUCCUCAAGCAUCUCACUGCCCAGCAGUCUGGCAGCCUGCAAACUCCAGCAGAAGAGUUUCGCUCUGUUUUCAUUGUUAGACAUAGCACACAAUCACUGUUAAACCAUUCGAAGGAAAACACAGCUGGUGAUUCUGGACUAUGUUAUAUUUUUAUUCUGAGUCAUUUACCACCUCUUUUAAAUAAUCCCAGAAGCCUCCACAGGGAUUUGCUUUUAUGGCACCGGAUCGCUCAGGAGUGUGUCUGUCUCCAGCCCUUUCCUCCCAUUUUUCAAUUUCCAUUCUGGCCCGCAUCCACCACGGGAGGGAAUGUGCUUCAAGUCACUCAGAGGAACCCUGCAGGGCUCUGGGACCCAUCCACAGCUGAUAGAAACCAGAGCGGGUCCAGUGGCUUCAGGCAGCCACAGCACACACAGCCAGGCAAGCAGCGCUGCCUCCAAGCUCCCCAUAAAUCACUGGCACCAACCAGCCUUGCGUGCUUGAAAGUACCAUCUGAAAUUCUUAAACACACUUAAAUGCAUUUUGAAGUCUUAAAGGUGGAUGCCCCACAUUCAAGUCCAGGUUGGAUGGGGCCCUGGGCAACCCGAUCAGGUGCCUGAUGUAGUGGUUGGCAGCCCUCCCCGUGGCGGGGGGGGGGGGGGUUGGAACUAAAUGGUCUUUGAGGUCCCUUCCAACUCAAGCCUUUCUGUGAUUCUGUAUCCUAUAAAUGUUCAUUUGUUCAAAUCUGUGCUGCAGCCAACCACUGCGAAGGGAAAUGGCGCACUGAAUACUGAAGGCAAGUUGUCUAAAAUCAGGUGUGACACUGCACGUACAGCUCCUGUAACUCUGUUAAUACCUCUGCAGCGCUGAGGUCCUUGGCUGCCAUCUUUCACUGGGCUACACCCAGCAGGUUUGCAGCAUCAACCUGAGGUACAUCAGUAUGCAGGUGCUAUUUGCUCUGUAGUGGCUUUUCACAUCAGACAUACCAGAUCCACCGCAUCCUCCCAUACCCCUUGUCUUACAUUCAGCUGGGAUGGAAUUGUUUUCCUCAGAGUGCCUGGUACGAUGCUAUGUUUUGGCUCUAGGAGAAAAACAACGUUGAUAACACACUGAUGCUGAUAGUUUUGGGACAGCUUCCUUAAGCUGUCCAAAAGGAUGAUCCACAGCAUAUAGCAUCAUGUGGAAGGAGUUUUGAAGGGGGUGGGAGCGCAUCUUGAUCUGUUCCACUGCUCAGGGACAACUGGGUGGGGUGAUGAGCAAUUGCUUGUGCAUCACUUGUUAUAUACAUUCAUAUAUAUAUAUAUCUAUAUGUAGUCAUAAAUCUUACUCUUUUCCCUUUCUCUUAAUAAAUCAUUUUAUCUCAACCCACGAGUUCUACAUUUUUUUUCCCCCACUUCCCUCCCCUAUCCCAUUGGGGCGAAUGACUCUGUGCUGCUGAGCCACCAGCCAGGUUAAACCACAACAUCCUGGUGCUCCAAGAUUCCAGAACAGACUUGCUUCGCCUAAAAUUCCUUUGGGAACCCACAGACAGGGGAAAAGCUGGCAAGAAAUGAAAGCAGAGCCAAUCCAUUCCCCCUUCUCUGCUCUGCUGCACAACACUGCUUGUCAGGUUGCUCACCUAGCAUGAGCUGCGCAAUCAGAGCAAACCUGGGGAGAAGGUGAACUUUCCACAGCUGUUCAAUAUCUGUGCUGAGAACAACCGACCCAGAAAGUGAGAUUUCUCACCUCGGCUGUGCUGUGUCCCCUUUGGAGGAAUGGGAGCAAGCAGGGAGUCACUGCACCAUUCAAUCUCUCCCAGGCUUUUGCACGAGGCUCUGCUAAAAUGUAGAUGCUCCCUUUAUAGGCUGAGGAUUUUCUUGACUCCAAGUUGUUUGCUCUCAAAAUUAACCUCCAGAGAUACCAAACAGUUGUGAGCUGUUAAGUAGGUUCACCCUGUAAGCCACAAGAGAAACAUCCCUUUUAGUUACUAUGCGAGUUGGACUCUCGCUGGGAAGCUAGCAGUAUCUCUCCUCU
ensembl:lncRNA